rnacentral:rRNA from 1 species
AUUGAACGCUGGCGGCAGGCCUAACACAUGCAAGUCGAACGGUAACAGGAAACAGCUUGCUGUUUCGCUGACGAGUGGCGGACGGGUGAGUAAUGUCUGGGAAACUGCCUGAUGGAGGGGGAUAACUACUGGAAACGGUAGCUAAUACCGCAUAACGUCGCAAGACCAAAGAGGGGGACCCUCGGGCCUCUUGCCAUCGGAUGUGCCCAGAUGGGAUUAGCUUGUUGGUGGGGUAACGGCUCACCAAGGCGACGAUCCCUAGCUGGUCUGAGAGGAUGACCAGCCACACUGGAACUGAGACACGGUCCAGACUCCUACGGGAGGCAGCAGUGGGGAAUAUUGCGCAAUGGGCGCAAGCCUGAUGCAGCCAUGCCGCGUGUAUGAAGAAGGCCUUCGGGUUGUAAAGUACUUUCAGCGGGGAGGAAGGGAGUAAAGUUAAUACCUUUGCUCAUUGACGUUACCCGCAGAAGAAGCACCGGCUAACUCCGUG